GCGCCUGUGGCGGAAUUGGUAGACGCGCAAGGUUGAGGGCCUUGUGGGCCGUAUGGCCCGUGGGAGUUCGAGUCUCCCUGGGCGCA
rnacentral:tRNA from 2 species